GGAGAAGUAUCUAUUGCCUCAGCUAGAUGCAGACGAGUUUUCUCCCGAAAAAGUUGGAAGGCAGUGGGAGUUUGAUUGGUUUGAGAGAGCUAAAAUCCUUCCAGAUCCAUCUUUGCCUCGAUCUGUUGUUGUCCCUACAUGGGAAGUGCCUUUUAGACGUCAGCGGGACAGAUUGGAUAAUGGAAGAUGGGAACCAAAGUCAGAGGAGAGAGAUGUAUCAGAACUUACAAUUGGAGCUGAUGAUUCUGGGGCUCUACCGCGCAUUGUUGGACCACCAAAAGAUUUUGUUAGAGGAAGCAUUAACAGUCGU
rnacentral:misc_RNA from 1 species